rnacentral:rRNA from 1 species
AGUGAACGCUGGCGGUAGGCCUAACACAUGCAAGUCGAACGGCAGCACAGUAAGAGCUUGCUCUUACGGGUGGCGAGUGGCGGACGGGUGAGGAAUACAUCGGAAUCUACUUUUUCGUGGGGGAUAACGUAGGGAAACUUACGCCAAUACCGCACACGACCUACGGGUUAAAGCAGGGGAUCUUCGGACUUUGCGCGAUUGAAUGAGCCGAUGUCGGAUUAGCUAGUUGGCGGGGUAAAGGCCCACCAAGGCGACGAUCCGUAGCUGGUCUGAGAGGUUGAUCAGCCACACUGGAACUGAGACACGGUCCAGACUCCUACGGGAGGCAGCAGUGGGGAAUAUUGGACAAUGGACGCAAGCCUGAUCCAGCCAUACCGCGUGGGUGAAGAAGGCCUUCGGGUUGUAAAGCCCUUUUGUUGGGAAAGAAAAGCAGCAGGUUAAUACCCCGCUGUUCUGACGGUACCCAAAGAAUAAGCACCGGCUAACUUCGUG